AGUGAACGCUGGCGGUAGGCCUAACACAUGCAAGUCGAACGGCAGCACAGUAAGAGCUUGCUCUUACGGGUGGCGAGUGGCGGACGGGUGAGGAAUACAUCGGAAUCUACUUUUUCGUGGGGGAUAACGUAGGGAAACUUACGCUAAUACCGCAUACGACCUACGGGUGAAAGCAGGGGAUCUUCGGACCUUGCGCGAUUGAAUGAGCCGAUGUCGGAUUAGCUAGUUGGCGGGGAAAAGGCCCACCAAGGCGACGAUCCGUAGCUGGUCUGAGAGGAUGAUCAGCCACACUGGAACUGAGACACGGUCCAGACUCCUACGGGAGGCAGCAGUGGGGUAUAUUGGACAAUGGGCGCAAGCCUGAUCCAGCCAUACCGCGUGGGUGAAGAAGGCCUUCGGGUUGUAAAGCCCUUUUGUUGGGAAAGAAAUCCAGCCGGCUAAUACCUGGUUGGGAUGACGGUACCCAAAGAAUAAGCACCGGCUAACUUCGUG
rnacentral:rRNA from 1 species